GGAGCUGUAGUUCAGUGGCAGAGCAUCUGCUUUGCAUGCAGAAGGUCCCAGGUUCAAUCCCUGGCAUCUCCA